GUUGUCCCAUCUCGCCUGAGUUGCACUGAGAAGCUAGCAUUCUGGAUUAAUGUGUAUAAUGCUUUGAUCAUGCAUGCCUUUCUUGCAUAUGGAGUUCCAAGAAGUGAUAUUAAAUUAUUUUCCUUAAUGCAGAAGGCUGCUUACACCAUUGGAGGGCACACAUUCAGCGCUGCUGACAUUGAAUUCGUUAUUCUGAAGAUGAAACCACCAGCUCAUCGCCCACAAAUAGCCG
rnacentral:misc_RNA from 1 species